rnacentral:rRNA from 1 species
UACAGAGGGGGCAAGCGUUGUUCGGAUUUAUUGGCGUAAAGCGCGUGUAGGCGGCCAGGUAGGUCCGCUGUGAAAACUCGAGGCUCAACCUCGAGACGUCGGCGGAAACCAUCUGGCUAGAGUCCGGGAGGGGCGAGUGGAAUUCCUGGUGUAGCGGUGAAAUGCGCAGAUAUCAGGAGGAACACCAAUGGCGAAGGCAGCUCGCUGGAACGGAACUGACGCUGAGGCGCGAAAGCGUGGGGAGCGAACAGG